rnacentral:rRNA from 1 species
GACGAACGCUGGCGGCGUGCUUAACACAUGCAAGUCGAACGGAAAGGCCCUGCUUUUGUGGGGUGCUCGAGUGGCGAACGGGUGAGUAACACGUGAGUAACCUGCCCUUGACUUUGGGAUAACUUCAGGAAACUGGGGCUAAUACCGGAUAGGAGCUCCUGCUGCAUGGUGGGGGUUGGAAAGUUUCGGCGGUUUGGGAUGGACUCGCGGCUUAUCAGCUUGUUGGUGGGGUAGUGGCUUACCAAGGCUUUGACGGGUAGCCGGCCUGAGAGGGUGACCAGCCCCUUUGGGCCUGGGUUCCGGCCCAGCCUCCUACGGGAGGCAGCAGUGGGGAAUAUUCCACAAUGGGCGGAAGCCUGAUGCAGCAACGCCGCGUGCGGGAUGACGGCCUUCGGUUUGUAAACCGCUUUCGCCUGUGACGAAGCGUGAGUGACGGUAAUGGGUAAAGAAGCACCGGCUAACUACGUG